rnacentral:rRNA from 1 species
CCUACGGGCGGCAGCAGUGGGGAAUAUUGGACAAUGGGCGAAAGCCUGAUCCAGCCAUGCCGCGUGUGUGAAGAAGGUCUUCGGGUUGUAAAGCACUUUCAGUGGGGAAGAAAGCCUUGGGGCUAAUACCCUCGAGGAAGGACAUCACCCACAGAAGAAGCACCGGCUAACUCCGUGCCAGCAGCCGCGGUAAUACGGAGGGUGCGAGCGUUAAUCGGAAUUACUGGGCGUAAAGCGCGCGUAGGCGGUCUGAUAAGCCGGUUGUGAAAGCCCCGGGCUCAACCUGGGAACGGCAUCCGGAACUGUCAGGCUAGAGUGCAGGAGAGGAAGGUAGAAUUCCCGGUGUAGCGGUGAAAUGCGUAGAGAUCGGGAGGAAUACCAGUGGCGAAGGCGGCCUUCUGGACUGACACUGACGCUGAGGUGCGAAAGCGUGGGUAGCAAACAGGAUUAGAUACCCGGGUAGUC